UAAUACAGAGGGUGCAAGCGUUAAUCGGAAUUACUGGGCGUAAAGCGAGCGUAGUCGGUUAUUUAAGUCGGGUGUGAAAGCCCCGGGCUCAACCUGGGAAUUGCAUUCGAUACUGGAUAGCUAGAGUUCGGCAGAGGGAAGCGGAAUUUCCGGUGUAGCGGUGAAAUGCGUAGAUAUCGGAAGGAACAUCAGUGGCGAAAGCGGCUUCCUGGACCAGAACUGACGAUCAGGCUCGAAAGCGUGGGGAGCAAACAGGAUUAGAUACCCUGGUAGUCCACGCCAUAAACGAUGACAACUAGACGUUGGGAGGGUAAGCCUCACAGUGUCGCAGCUAACGCGUUAAGUUGUCCGCCUGGGGAGUACGGCCGCAAGGUUG
rnacentral:rRNA from 1 species